AACGAACGCUGGCGGCAGGCUUAACACAUGCAAGUCGAGCGAGACCUUCGGGUCUAGCGGCGGACGGGUGAGUAACGCGUGGGAACGUGCCCUUCUCUACGGAAUAGCCCCGGGAAACUGGGAGUAAUACCGUAUACGCCCUUUGGGGGAAAGAUUUAUCGGAGAAGGAUCGGCCCGCGUUGGAUUAGGUAGUUGGUGGGGUAAUGGCCCACCAAGCCGACGAUCCAUAGCUGGUUUGAGAGGAUGAUCAGCCACACUGGGACUGAGACACGGCCCAGACUCCUACGGGAGGCAGCAGUGGGGAAUCUCAGACAAUGGGGGCAACCCUGAUCUAGCCAUGCCGCGUGAGUGAUGAAGGCCUUAGGGUUGUAAAGCUCUUUCAGCUGGGAAGAUAAUGACGGUACCAGCAGAAGAAGCCCCGGCUAACUCCGUG
rnacentral:rRNA from 1 species